AGAGUUUGAUCCUGGCUCAGGAUGAACGCUAGCGGCAGGCCUAAUACAUGCAAGUCGAACGGGAUCCACCAGCUUGCUGGUGGUGAGAGUGGCGCACGGGUGCGUAACGCGUGAGCAACCUACCCAUAUCAGGGGGAUAGCCCCUCGAAAGAGGGAUUAACACCGCAUAAGAUUAUAAGAUGGCAUCAUCAAGUAAUUAAAUAUUCAUAGGAUAUGGAUGGGCUCGCGUGACAUUAGCUAGUUGGUGGGGUAACGGCUCACCAAGGCGACGAUGUCUAGGGGCUCUGAGAGGAGAAUCCCCCACACUGGUACUGAGACACGGACCAGACUCCUACGGGAGGCAGC
rnacentral:rRNA from 1 species